rnacentral:rRNA from 1 species
AUUGAACGCUGGCGGCAUGCUUUACACAUGCAAGUCGAACGGUAACAGGCCGCAAGGUGCUGACGAGUGGCGAACGGGUGAGUAAUGCAUCGGAACGUGCCCAGUCGUGGGGGAUAACUGCUCGAAAGAGCAGCUAAUACCGCAUACGAUCUAUGGAUGAAAGCGGGGGACCGUAAGGCCUCGCGCGAUUGGAGCGGCCGAUGUCAGAUUAGGUAGUUGGUGGGGUAAAGGCUCACCAAGCCAACGAUCUGUAGCUGGUCUGAGAGGACGACCAGCCACACUGGGACUGGGACACGGCCCAGACUCCUACGGGAGGCAGCAGUGGGGAAUUUUGGACAAUGGGGGCAACCCUGAUCCAGCAAUGCCGCGUGCAGGAAGAAGGCCUUCGGGUUGUAAACUGCUUUUGUACGGAACGAAACGGUCUGGGUUAAUACCCUGGGCUAAUGACGGUACCGUAAGAAUAAGCACCGGCUAACUACGUGCCAGCAGCCGCCGCAGUAA